rnacentral:lncRNA from 1 species
GGAGGAAACAGUUGGUUUUGAUUUCUACGGCGGAUUGUUGGUGGUGGUUGAGACGCCGACGCGUAGGUUCUUUAGGGAGAAGAAGAGGUCUUGGUUAUUUCUUAUUUUUUCUCUUUUUUCUUUUUGUUGAGAGAGUGACGAGAGGAUUAAAAAGAGUCUUCUUCCCCUUUUCUUCUUUUCUUUUUUUGUUUUUCUUUAUAACCGUUAGAAAGAGGAGAGAAGUUUUUUCUUCUUUCUCCCCAAGGUUCCUUUUUUUUGUCCUUUUC